AUUGGUCGCUUCCGCGCUUCCAGUGGUAGAAGUACCAGAAGGCAAGGAAGCAGGGUCAGAGACUGGUAGUUUUGAGAUAGGCAAGGGGGGUUAGAACAGUUGGAAGAUGAGGGAAUGGUAGCUGAGGAGGCGGGGUUGGUUCGAAGGGGAUAGGAGGAUUUGGGCGGAUGAAUAGUAAAUCUGGAAGGGAUUUGAACAGUUUGUUGAAUAGUAAUUUCCUCAGAUCUACUUUUUGAGAAUGCAGAUUCUGAGUUAGUGGUUUGUUUUAGGUUAGCAGACACCUGAAUUGGAGGUCCCUUUAACGAGGUAGUAGUUGCAGUCUUCAUCUUUUUUUUAUGAAGUAGUUGGGGGAGUAGUAGUAGCUGGUGAGGAAGGGAGCGGAGGGAAGUUAGGGUCGGGAGGAUCGGGAGGGUCAGGAGGGUGAACUGGAGAUUCACCAGGGUUCAGGCCGGAAUCACAUCCCCACUCGGGGAACCAGGGGUUCACUUGAGG
rnacentral:lncRNA from 1 species